AUGCUCACUUCAGCAGUAUGUACACUAAAAUUGGAACCAAAACUGAGAAGAUUAGCAUGACCCUUGCACAAGGAUGACAGGCAAAUUCACCUGAGGAUAUUUUUCCAUUU